UUUGUACUCCCUCCGUCCCGAAAUUCUUGUCUUAGAUUUGUCUAAAUAGAGAUGUACCAAGUCACGUUUCUGUAUUAGAUACAUAUGUAUCUAGACUAAUCUACGACAAGAAUUUCGGGACGGAGGGAGUAUGUA
rfam:Triticum aestivum genome assembly, contig: Triticum_aestivum_CS42_TGACv1_scaffold_093274_2AL